rnacentral:rRNA from 1 species
AGUGAACGCUGGCGGUAGGCCUAACACAUGCCAGUCGAACGGCAGCACAGUAAGAGCUUGCUCUUACGGGUGGCGAGUGGCGGACGGGUGAGGAAUACAUCGGAAUCUACUUUUUCGUGGGGGAUAACGUAGGGAAACUUACGCUAAUACCGCAUACGACCUACGGGUGAAAGCAGGGGAUCUUCGGACCUUUCGCGAUUGAAUGAGCCGAUGUCGGAUUAGCUAGUUGGCGGGGUAAAGGCCCACCAAGGCAACGAUACGUAGCUGGUCUGAGAGGAUGAUCAGCCACACUGGAACUGAGACACGGUCCAGACUCCUACGGGAGGCAGCAGUGGGGAAUAUUGGACAAUGGGCGCAAGCCUGAUCCAGCCAUACCGCGUGGGUGAAGAAGGCCUUCGGGUUGUAAAGCCCUUUUGUUGGGAAAGAAAAGCAGCAGGUUAAUACCCCGCUGUUCUGACGGUACCCAAAGAAUAAGCACCGGCUAACUUCGUG